rnacentral:rRNA from 1 species
CAAUAGCGUAUAUUAAAGUUGUUGCAGUUAAAAAGCUCGUAGUUGGACUUGUGAUGGUUCCUGUGGUCCAAUUUUGGUACUUUCGGGGACUGUCAUCUUUGGGUGGAUCCUGUGUGGCAUUAGGUUGUCGUGCAGGGGAUGCCCAUCGUUUACUGUGAAAAAAUUAGAGUGUUCAAAGCAGGCUUAUGCCGUUGAAUAUAUUAGCAUGGAAUAAUGAGAUAGGACCUUGGUACUAUUUUGUUGGUUUGCGCACCGAGGUAAUGAUUAAUAGGGACAGUUGUGGGUAUUCGUAUUCCAUUGUCAGAGGUGAAAUUCUUGGAUUUCUGGAAGACGAACUAAUGCGAAAGCAUUUACCAAGGAUGUUUUCAUUA